rnacentral:rRNA from 1 species
GACGAACGCUGGCGGCGUGCUUAACACAUGCAAGUCGAACGCUGAAGGCCUGGCUUUUGUUGGGUUGGAUGAGUGGCGAACGGGUGAGUAACACGUGAGUAACCUGCCCUCUUCUUUGGGAUAACGCCCGGAAACGGGUGCUAAUACUGGAUAUUCACUGAUCUUCGCAUGGGGGUUGGUGGAAAGGUUUGUUCUGGUGGGGGAUGGGCUCGCGGCCUAUCAGCUUGUUGGUGGGGUGAUGGCCUACCAAGGCUUUGACGGGUAGCCGGCCUGAGAGGGUGACCGGUCACAUUGGGACUGAGAUACGGCCCAGACUCCUACGGGAGGCAGCAGUGGGGAAUAUUGCACAAUGGGCGAAAGCCUGAUGCAGCGACGCCGCGUGAGGGAUGGAGGCCUUCGGGUUGUAAACCUCUUUCGCUCAUGGUCAAGCCGCAACUGUGGGUUGUGGCGAGGGUAGUGGGUAAAGAAGCGCCGGCUAACUACGUG